UGCAUCGCCAGGAAUCGAACCCGCGCCGCCGCCCGCGUGGCAGGCGAGGAUUCUACCACUGAACCACCGAUGC
rnacentral:tRNA from 1 species